rnacentral:miRNA from 1 species
UUGAAAUUGCAGAUUUGGUAC